UCAACCUGGAAAAAAGCCACCCUGUUAGUUACAGUGCAUUAUCAUGAAAAAAAUAUGCAUUAAUUGCAAUCUUGCAUAUCCAAGGAACACAGAAUUAUUUGAUGGCUCUGCUGUGCAAAUAAGGGGUAUAUUGAUCCGCAUUUAACCAAUCCCAGUGAGCAUGCGCAAGCACACACGCACGCAGGCACACACGCGCACACACUCCUCUUUUUUUCUAGGCGGUUCCAAUCUGUUCUGUGUAUUCAUCUUUUUUUACAGUCUGUCGUAUUCAUUCAUCCAGAUCAUCCAGUCAAAAUGCUUUUUCGACUUCAUACGGCGCCAAAAGAACUGACAGGCUGACGAUGACGUCAAAGUAUCGCGAAAGCGAUUCGAGGAGUCUGCUUUCAAAUCGCUCUCGCGGAACUUUGACGUUGUACGUCUGUCAGUUGAUCUGGUUUAAUGUGAUUCGCGCUCUUUAUCCGUUGCAACUUGCUGUCUGAGGUAAAUAAGACGAGAAAGUUGAACCUUGCUCAUUAAAUGGAUAAAAGAAAACCAUGUAAGAGUUGGUUUGGAUAAAUAUGCGAAGGACAAUAAAUGUUAAGUGACCCAAAGACGGUUGGUCUUGUGGACAACGAGGAACAAACCGCCUAAAGGCGGUUGGAAAGCGUUUCCAGCACAAAUACUCAACGUGAACGAGAGCCUUGGGUAAAAAAAGGCAGAGUACCAGUCAGUGGUUAAAGACACACAAAAUGUGGACAUCAAAACAAAUGGCUACAUUUGCUCGUGAGGAAGAUGAUAAUGAAGAGGAUGAGACUCCUUCAAACCAUAAGAUAGUGGAUGAUUCACACUCAACUGCAAAGCAAUGAAAGAACACAUCUGUCACUAAAUUGAACCCAGUCACCUUGGAUUAUGCCCAAAAGUGUAUUACCAGAAACUCACCAGAACUGUGAUGGACUCCAUUUCCACCUUAGAAAAAAUGACAACAUGCUCCGUCACAGGGAAAAAAGGGACCACUGGUGAACAAAGACAGAGUCCUGACAGAGAAAGUGAAGCUAGUAAUAGGGAGCCUGCUGGAAGAGAAUCUGAGGACUGAUGCACAUAUAACAAUGGACAUGCAUAAAGACACAUCUCUAACAAUGGACAUGCAUAAAGACACAUCUCUCUCUCUCUCUCUCUCUCUCUCUCUCUCUCUCUCUCUCCCACAUACACACACACUCAGAUAUACAGUUGUUGUUGUAUGGACAGCAUUUUAUUGAUACUUGUUUUUUUAUGAAUAUGUUUGGAUACUUCUUAUAAUUUUCUGUAUGUUUGCAAAUAAAUUCUC